UUCUUCGAUACCUGGGCCAUGAACGAU
rnacentral:piRNA from 1 species